rnacentral:rRNA from 1 species
AUUGAACGCUGGCGGCAGGCCUAACACAUGCAAGUCGAGCGAGCGGCGGACGGGUGAGUAAUGUAUGGGGACUGCCCGAUAGAGGGGGAUAAAUACUGGAAACGGUAGCUAAUACCGCAUACUAUCGGAUAACCCAUAUGGGAUUGGCUAGUAGGUAAGGUAAUGGCUCACCUAGGCGACGAUCCCUAGCUGGGCUGAGAGAAUGAUCAGCCACACGGGGACUGAGACACGGCCCAGACUCUUACGGAGGCAGAAGUGGGGAAUAUUGCACAAUGGGCGCAAGCCGGAUGCAGCCAUGCCGCGUGUAUGAAGAAGGCCCUAGGGUUGUAAAGUACUUUCAGUCGUGAGGCGUUACCGACAGAGGAAGCACCGGCUAACUACGGGCCAGCAGCCGCGGUAAUAC